rnacentral:snoRNA from 1 species
AACCCAUGGUGUGGACAUCCGCUAAGCAAAUCUUUAAAUCGUUCCCAAGCCUUUUUUAAGGAUUCACCAUCAAACUUUAUAAAAAAAGUUUUAUCAUUCCUCAACUU